UAUUCAAUAAAUUCCUUUCUUUGGUCCACUGUUUUGCCACUAGUGAAAAUAUUCUUUUUAUUCACAAUCGGUUAGUAAUAAGAGUCAUUCGUCUCAUUUAAGAAGUUUGAAAGUCGGCCGUAACUAGAUUAUAUUUAUUACGAAGUUCGAAAGUAUGAACUUCCGCGCUAAGGAAGAGAAGUAUAGCUACUAAUAUCAGUCACAGAUGGCGCACUAGAUGAGAUGAAGUUUUGAAUCUCUGUUGCACCGUGACUCUCUCAGUGACCUCGGCACUGCGCAACCGUAAACACGCUAGAAUUUGAAUUUGCGUUACUGUUUAAGAGUAAGGGGUAAAGUACGAGUAAAAAAUAUACUCGUAAUGGUAAUAUCAUUGUUUAUUCAUAGGUAUACAAACAAAACAAACGCUUGCCCGUAGGCGCGUUUUCGUUUUAAGUAAAUUCAUAUUCAAAGCGGUUGCGCGUUGCUGAGGGAGUCACGGUACAAUAGAUAUUCAUGUCUAAUUGGCUGUUGGUUUCCAGUUGGUUGUAAUUCGUUAACCUCAAAAUAACAUUAUCUUGAAACGGACGUACCAAUGCAGAAAAAAUAACGGUUCUAUUCACGGAAAGAUACAAAUUCAAGAACUACAAUUGUUGAAAUUAAAGGUUACAUUGGACUGACCGCUGUUGUUUAUAGUUACAAUCAGGCCUUGUUUGGUCUGCUCAGUAGAAAAGUUUGUUUCUUGAGUAAUAGACGCAACAGGAAAGGUUAUUCGGGAGCAACUUGGGUAUUGGAAUGGAAGCAUUAGGUUGUUCAUCUCCCGUGACACUUGUGGAUAACGACAAAAUUCGCGCUAUUCUCUCUUGGCCAUGAAGAGACUGGUCAACAUAACCACCCACAACCGAUGCAGAUUUCCACCCUCCCAAUUGCUUUAAUUGAAGAGUGUCUCCGCCGGCAUUUGCUAACAGAG